CGAGUGGCGAACGGGUGAGUAACGCGUGAGGAACCUGCCUCAAAGAGGGGGACAACAGUUGGAAACGACUGCUAAUACCGCAUAAGCCCACGACCCGGCAUCGGGAAGAGGGAAAAGGAGCAAUCCGCUUUGAGAUGGCCUCGCGUCCGAUUAGCUAGUUGGUGAGGUAACGGCCCACCAAGGCAACGAUCGGUAGCCGGACUGAGAGGUUGAACGGCCACAUUGGGACUGAGACACGGCCCAG
rnacentral:rRNA from 1 species